rnacentral:lncRNA from 1 species
UUCAUCAAUAUUACCAUUAAAAACAACAAUGUUUAAACACAAGUAGCUUUUAACAACAAAGAAACUACAAAUGCAAAAAUAGAAACAAAUCAGUCCAACGAUUGCCAGUGUUGAGGAUGUCUUCCUGUCUGAACAGUAGAGUACAGUAGAGUUAUCAACUGGGGUUUGCACAAGCUGAGGUUGGGUAAGACCAUUUACUAUAGCUAGCAUAACAUUCUCAACAACUGCAGUCUGCUGAAUGUUG